GCGGCUGCGCGAGCCGGUACUGCGUCUGUAGUGAAUGGUGUCGCUCCUGCCGGCAGGCCGCAGAGUGGCCUGGAGACCACCCUUCUUCGUUCCUCGUGCUUUUGUCACCCGUGUGCCGGGCGGCAGAACUCGGUGAGGGGACAUGAGGCUUCCUGAUAAGCCUCGCAGGUUUCCCGCUGCCCAGAUAUUCCGGGUCCUCGUGGGACCCGGCCUCAGACCCUGCAGAAAUGGCGUCUUCUUGCUGCCUGCCUCUUCCUUUUACAUUUUGUUGUUAACAAAAUUGUUGGUGCGGGCUGAGGCAUAGACAAGAGCGGUUUACCUCUUCCUAGUUCUGUUCCUUUCCCUGAUUCAUAGAACCCAGCGCUGCUCGGCACCACGUGGUUGCUCAUGGCCGCGUAGGCCCAGAAUUCUUCCAAGGAGCUGCGUUCCUGUUUUUUUCAGUGCCAGUUUUAGGCACACCAAGGUGGAUAAUUUAAAAUCACCUUUGCUUUAAAAAAGAAAAUAAAAAGACACUUUACUUUAGUGUUAGGAUUAUAAAUCCCAAACUUGAUGGCCUAGUCGGCCAUCAAUGGGAGGAGAGGCCCUUGGUAUUGCUAAGAUCAUAUGCCCCAGUACAGGGGAAUGCCAGGGCCAGGAAGCGGGAGUGAUUGGGUUGGGGAGCAGGGCGGAGGGAGGGUAUUGGGGGCUUUGGGGAUAGCAUUUGAAAUGUAAAUUCAGAAAAUAUCUAAUAGAGAGAGAAAAUAAAUCCCAAACUUGAAUAGUCUCUCUUAAAUAGUCUAUGCCUUAUGCGAGAAAAAAGAAUCAUGGAGUAAGUCGGCUGUACAUUGUCUAUCAUGGAGUAAGUCGGCUGUACUUUCUCUAUAAUGGAGUAAGUUGGCUGUACAUUGCCUGUAAUGGAGCUGGCUUGGAUAAUAAAGUGGACUUGGAUAGUAAA
rnacentral:lncRNA from 1 species